rnacentral:rRNA from 1 species
CAGUCGCCACGGUAAUACGUAGGGUGCAAGCGUUAAUCGGAAUUACUGGGCGUAAAGCGUGCGCAGGCGGUUAUAUAAGUCAGAUGUGAAAUCCCCGGGCUCAACCUGGGAACUGCAUUUGAGACUGUAUGGCUAGAGUGUGUCAGAGGGGGGGUAGAAUUCCACGUGUAGCAGUGAAAUGCGUAGAUAUGUGGAGGAAUACCGAUGGCGAAGGCAGCCCCCUGGGAUAACACUGACGCUCAUGCACGAAAGCGUGGGGAGCAAACAGGAUUAGAUACCCGCGUAGUCCCUGUCUCUUAUA